rnacentral:rRNA from 1 species
UGCGCAGGCGGACUUUUAAGUCAGUGGUGAAAUCCCGAGGCUCAACCUCGGAACUGCCAUUGAUACUGGAAGUCUUGAAUUUGGUUGAAGUGGGCGGAAUGUAGCAUGUAGCGGUGAAAUGCUUAGAUAUGCUACAGAACACCGAUCGCGAAGGCAGCUCACUAAGCCAAUAUUGACGCUCAGACACGAAAGCGUGGGGAGCAAACAGGAUUAGAUACCCUGGUAGUCC